AUGCCGAAGCAGAUCGUCCAUGACGCCCACAAGGAGCACCCCCUGGUGUUCCACGACGACGGCUUCAGGUUCCGCUGCGACGGCUGCAACUGCUACGGCGUAGGCGCCCGCUAUCGCUGCGCCGCCUGCGACUUCGACCUGCACGAGCUCUGCGCGACCUGCCAGCCGACGGCGCCCUUCUCCUUCCAUGGCCACGGCCAGCACCCGCUCACGUUCGAGCGGACCGUGUUCCCGGAGGACCCGCGCAGAUGCGACCUGUGCGCCGCGCUCAUCAAGGGCAUGCACUACCGCUGCCGUCCUUGCGACUUCGACGUGCACCCGAUCUGCUCCCAGCUGCCGAGCGCGGCACUGUCGCCCCUGCACCCGGCGCACCUCCUCGUGCUCACCAUGGCCGCGCCGGCGAAGUGCACGCGCUGUAGCACCGACUGCCUGUGGCGCUACCGGUGCGUUCCCUGCGAGGUCAACUUGCACCCCAGGUGCUUGCUUGGGACCGAGCAGACGCCGCUAAAUAUUCCCAAAGGCAAAUAG
rnacentral:rRNA from 1 species